GACCAGGCUCCUACGGGAGGCAGCAGUGGGGAAUAUUGCACAAUGGGGGAAACCCUGAUGCAGCGACGCCGCGUGAGUGAAGAAGUAUUUCGGUAUGUAAAGCUCUAUCAGCAGGGAAGAAAAUGACGGUACCUGAUUAAGAAGCCCCGGCUAACUACGUGCCAGCAGCCGCGGUAAUACGUAGGGGGCAAGCGUUAUCCGGAUUUACUGGGUGUAAAGGGAGCGUAGACGGUGAUGCAAGUCAGAAGUGAAAGCCCGGGGCUCAACUCCGGGACUGCUUUUGAAACUGUGUAACUGGAGUGCAGGAGAGGUAAGCGGAAUUCCUGGUGUAGCGGUGAAAUGCGUAGAUAUCAGGAGGAACACCAGUGGCGAAGGCGGUCUGCUGGACAGCAACUGACGCUGAGGCGCGAAAGCGUGGGGAGCAAACAGGAUUAGAUACCCCCGUAA
rnacentral:rRNA from 1 species